ACAGCAGCAGGGGCUGGGUUGAGGCAGCGGCUGCUGGCCUGGGGCGCACCCGUAAAUGGACUUGGGGCUCAAUGCUGUGACUCUUAGUUGUGGCUUUGGAUGUUGGAAUACCGGCGGUGAUCUUCUGUCUCUUAUCAACUCCCCUGAUUUAAAGGAAAGAUGAGUGAAGAACCGAAGGAGAAAAAUGCCAAACCUGCUCACAGGAAAAGGAAAGGGAAAAAGGUAAGUGAACAUGGCACUGGGCAUUCCUCAUUACGCCUCCCAUCUGGCCUUGACUCAUGUUGCCUUUUUAUGGACUAACACUCAACAAGGCAGUUAGAAAAAAUAUGCAGGUACUGUGGAUACUAUGGAAGUAUGUAUUCUAAGAGAGAUGGUAAGUGUGGUCUGUUUUAAGUUUCCUCGUUGAUACCAAGCUGGGCAGCCUCUCUCUCUUUCCCACUCCUCCCAGCCAAAGUGGCUUUAUUGGUUUAGUAAGCAUCUCGAGCUGGCAUGGCUAAAAAAAUAAGUUUCACUUUCAGGCUUGUCGGAUAUGCUUUUUUGGAGGAUGGUUUUUUUUAUCAAAAGCCUGAAAUCAUUUGACAUUGUUGGUGUUUUAAGUGAAUCUGUGUCACCGUGUGUUGUCGUUCACAUCUGGCCAGUUCGGAAUGAAAUGUACUAUUUUGCAGUACUGCGGGUGAUGUGAUCCUUACGACAUGGUCUUUGUAGCUCAGAGAAAGAAAACUCCAGGCUGAAAGAGUCUGAAGUUGUACCCAAAGUAAACAUUCUAAAUUGGUAGUUGCCUAAAGUCUAGAGUAUUAUUAGAACUCUUUUGAAUUCACAGUUCUAAAUCAAAGAAGUGUAAUUGGAGUUUCCUUUUUAAAUAUUUGAAGACUGUAUUUACUAUACUGUUCAAAUAUUAGAUCUAUAUUUGGAAGGUGAUUUUAAAGCAUUUUAAGCUAAAUAGGAAUGUGAAUUCUUAUUCAAUUCACUAUUGAAAAGAUGUACUACCAUUAAAGACUUUCUAAAGUAUUUAGUAGCUUUUUAAUAUUUUAUGACUGUUAUAGCGAAAUCCUUUAAAUAUUUCCAUUGUUAAUUCUCUAGGAGUUAAAAUUAUAGUAACAUUUUGACUUUGUCUUUUUUGAGAUUGGAAGUUUGAUUUACUAGUUGGCCAUUGCAUUUUGUUGAGAAUUAUAUUUCACUUUGUUUAAAAAUGAGACCCAGAGAAGCCAUAUUUAUAGAUCCUUGGUGGAUGUUUUGUUGUUGUUGUUUUCGUUAAUGUUGGAAAACAUAAUAUUGUGUAAAAGUGGUUUCUUUUUUGAAGUGUGCAUUAAUGUAUUUUCAAGUUGACAUAUUUAGAAAAUAUCUGGAUGAAAUGGCUUUUUUUUUUUUGAAUUGACUUCUUGUUAUAGCUUCAUGUGCAAUAAAUGAAUAGAAAUAGUCAUUGCCUUUAGAAAAUUUACUUUGAUUUACUCACUGAGAGGCUCAAUGUUAAGAGUAUACCAAAUGCCGACCUCUUUCAAUUUUACUUUUUUCUAAGGUUUGUUUAGAUGUUAUGUAUUUGAGGGUGUUUCUUUUAACUCUUAAUUAUUACGCUGCUGUGACACAAUAGUCUUUGGGGUGAUGAUUUUAAUAGGAAACAUUUCAUUUUAACUCUCCAAAUUUCAUUUGCCUGACACCUUCAAACAGCCAAUUUCUAAAUGCUGGAUGGAUAUAUUUUUUUUGUAUCUAUACCUAGAGGUAGAAUGGUAUAGAUGCAGUAGUAGGAUGGAUAUAUGAAUAAAUCUAACUUUAUACUGGUGGUUGUUUUCCUCAGUGAAGUAUUAUUUUUCACACUUCACAAAUAAGGGAGCUCUGACUCAUAAAUAAAUAUUACUCUCACUAAUUUUAUUGCAACAUAAUGACUUUGCUAAUGGGAGACAGCCUUUAAAAAAGGUUAGGAGUUUCCUGGUGGCUCAGUGGGUUAAAGAUCAAGUGUUUUCACUGUAGUGGCUCAGGUUGCUGCUGUGGCAUGUAUUCGAUCCCUGUCCUGGGAACUUUUGCAUGUUGUGGGUGUGGCCAAAAAAACUUAUACUUAAAAAAUAAGUCAUAAAAAUUGAACUUUCAAAAUGAGGCCCUGAGAGCAUUGGAAAUGAAAUUCAGACCUAUGAAAACUUUAGUUUUUCAUCUUCUGGAUUCUUUUUUUUCCAUGCCCGAAGCAUGCCAAAGUUCCCAGGACAGGAACUGAACUUGUGCCACAGCAGUAACAACACUGGAUACUUAACCCGUUGAGCCACUAGGGAACUCCUCUUCUGGAUUCUUAAAUCUUUUGUAAGUCUUAUUGCUGGUUUGUUCAUCAGAAAUGAAAACUGAAUUAACAUUAUGAUUUGACUCAAUAAAUAUGAUUAUCUGUUCCUAAUGUCACGGAUUUCACUGGGGAACAUUUAGUCAUAUAAGUUGUCAGUUCUGAUUAGAAGCAGUUAUGUCUGCACCCCUAAAUUGCUGAACUCCAGAGCCUUGAAUCUUGGGGAAGUCAGAGGUUCCUUAGAUCUCUGAGAAGGUUUAAGAUCACUUAAAAUACUCGAUAAAUUGUUUUAUGUUUGAAGUGUACAGUUUACACCAUCUUCUUAAGUCCGAGAUGAUGCCCCAGCCAUGUCUUUCCCUUUAAUGAGAAAUUCACAAAUAGCACAAAUGUUAGUCUUGGGUGAGGUUUCUAGAGCCACUCUGGAAUUUCCUUGCGAGAUUUUUUUUUUUUUUUUUUUUUUUUUUUUUUUUUUUUAAUUUGCAACGUCUAAAUCAUUUUGGUGGUUUUUCUAGAAGGACAGUCCCUUCCUUUUAUUAAAAUAAUGCCACUCGAUGGGAAUAGAUAUAGUUGUCUUUGCAUAUUUUUCUUUGAACAGGAGUAUUCUCACCAGUUUCAUUUUUUAUAUUUGAAAACAUGAAGUCAUCACCCAGCCCCUUUUCUGCUCUGCCGUGCUCUUCUUAAGGAAAUGGACUUGGGGGGUUUACUAUGAAUAUGAAUAGUUACUAAAUCCUAUGAGGAAACUCCAUCCAGGGAGCUGUGGAGGUCCAGUGUUUUGGAGGACUGGCUGGACAAAUUUGAACUUAGCUCCUGCAGUGAAUUGUGACAGGUUACUUGAUCUGUUUGGGAUUAUAGUGUUUUUCUUUGUUGUUGUAGUUUGUCAUUGGAAAAUACAAAGUUUAAUUUCUAUAUCAAUAUUUUUUUUUCUGAAACCUCUUAUUUCAGAGUUUUCCAAAUAUAGAUACUAGUAACUUUGCCCCUUCC
rnacentral:lncRNA from 1 species